rnacentral:tRNA from 1 species
GAGGGGAUAGCUCAGUGGUAGAGCACGUGCUUAGCAUGCACAAGGUCCUGGGUUCAACCCCCAGUACCUCCA